rnacentral:rRNA from 1 species
GAUGAACGCUGGCGGCGUGCCUAAUACAUGCAAGUCGAGCGAACAGACGAGGAGCUUGCUCCUCUGACGUUAGCGGCGGACGGGUGAGUAACACGUGGAUAACCUACCUAUAAGACUGGGAUAACUUCGGGAAACCGGAGCUAAUACCGGAUAAUAUAUUGAACCGCAUGGUUAAAUAGUGAAAGACGGUUUUGCUGUCACUUAUAGAUGGAUCCGCGCGGCAUUAGCUAGUUGGUAAGGUAACGGCUUACCAAGGCGUCGAUGCGUAGCCGACCUGUGAGGGGGAUAGACCACACUGGAACUGAGACACGGUCCAGACUCCUACGGGAGGCAGCAGUAGGGAAUCUUCCGCAAUAGGCGAAAGCCUGACGGAGAAACGCCGCGUGGGUGAGGAAGGUCUUCGGAUCGUAAAACUCUGUUAUUAGGGAAGAACAAAUGUGUAAGUAACUAUGCACGUCUUGACGGUACCUAAUCAGAAAGCCAGGGCUAACUACGUG